rnacentral:tRNA from 1 species
GGAGGAGUGGCUGAGCGGUUGAAAGCGACCGCCUUGAAAGCGGUUAGGUAUCGAAAGAUGCCUCGUGGGUUCGAAUCCUACCUCCUCCGCCA